rnacentral:rRNA from 1 species
AUACGUAGGUGACAAGCGUUAUCCGGAUUUACUGGGCGUAAAGGGCGUGUAGGCGGUCUUGCAAGUCAGAAGUGAAAUUCCUGAGCUCAACUCGGGCGCUGCUUCUGAAACUGCAGGACUUGAGUGCUGGAGGGGAUAGCGGAAUUCCUAGUGGAGCGGUAAAAUGCGCAGAUAUUAGGAAGAACACCGGAAGCGAAGGCGGAUUUAUGGACUAAAACAGACGGUGAGGCGCGAGAGCGUGGAGAUCAAACAGGAUUAGAUACCCGGGGAGUCCACGCCGUAAACGAUGAAUACUAGGUGUAGGGGGUAUCGACGCCCUCUGUGCCGCAGUUAACACAAUAAGUAUUCCGCCUGGGGAGUACGGCCUCAAGGUUGAAACUCAAAUGAAUUGACGGGG